rnacentral:rRNA from 1 species
GACGGAGGGUGCUAGCGUUGUUCGGAAUCACUGGGCGUAAAGGGCGCGUAGGCGGCCAGGCAAGUCGGCUUGUGAAAGCCCGGGGCUCAACCCCGGAGGUGCGGCCGGGACUGCUUGGCUGGAGGCCGGAAGAGGAGGGUGGAAUACCCAGUGUAGAGGUGAAAUUCGUAGAUAUUGGGUGGAACACCGGUGGCGAAAGCGGCUCUCUGGUCCGGUCCUGACGCUGAGGCGCGAAAGCGUGGGGAGCAAA